rnacentral:rRNA from 1 species
UACGUAGGUGGCAAGCGUUGUCCGGAGUUAUUGGGCGUAAAGCGCGCGCAGGCGGUGCGGUAAGUCUAUGGUGAAAGCGCUCGGCUUAACUGGGCGAGGGCCGUGGAGACUGCCGGACUGGAGGGGAGCAGAGGCGAGUGGAAUUCCGGGUGUAGUGGUGAAAUGCGUAGAGAUCCGGAGGAACACCAGUGGCGAAGGCGGCUCGCUGGGCUCAACCUGACGCUGAGGCGCGAAAGCUAGGGGAGCGAACGGG